CCCUCUGGUUGGCGAGCGCCUUUCUGCGCCUUCAGGCAUUUUUGCUGAGGCUUUUGUCUGCGCAUGUGCGGGUAGGUUCCGGUAGCAUCCGGGAGACCCGGCCCAGGCCUGGAGAUGCUGAGCGGAGCUUGGAGGGAGAGAGGGGACUGGGUUGUUGAGGGGAGAAUCCCUCUCGGCAUCUCCUUGGCCCACUGGGGAGCCCCAUUGCCCCAUCCACCGCUUAGAACCAGACCCUUCCUUUCACUCUCCACUCCCUAUCCCUACCGGCUUUAGACCUUCAAAGUUCCAAGAUUCGACCUUCGGGGUCUCCCCAUUUCGUAGGGGCUUACAGAUUUCCUAAAAUCCCCCUCCUCCCCGAACCCCCUUCCGUCCCUGGAGAUUCUGGGGUCCCUGCUCUUUCCCAUUCAUUCCACCCCAUCUACUUGGGACCCUUCCAAGGGCAAGGGGGGCCUCUCAGUGCCUCUCCUACCCUCAUGUCCUUUCUCCUCUUUUAGGUCCAGGAGGUCAUCUUUGCCUCCCUUCCUUGAAAUCUCCCCAGAUUUAGAGGCCCUCACCCAGCUUCUCCCCUCUCAGCCCUGUCGAGGUGUCAAGUGAGAUCUCAGCCAGGCCAGAAAAAGCUGCCAUGCCAAAAGCGGCCGACACUAACUCCACGCGGUGCUCCUGGAAACGUCGGGCUCCCAGCUCCCAUGAGGCAGAAAACGGGCAUCUAUUCUUUUAACAUACCAAAUAUUUGAGCACUUACCACGCGUCGGGCACUGAUUUACAGCACAGAGUGAAACUAAGUCCCUGCCCUUGCCUUGCUGAGCUUGCAUUCCAUCUUGGAAGGAGGAACAGACAAUAAUUAGCAAAAGUACAAUGACUGGUGUAGCGCCCUGAAUCCCCAGCCUUCACCCCGGGCAGCUCCAGCCCCAGGGGUCUAGGGCCCCAGGGAUGGGACGAGGAGAGGACUCUGUUCUGCAGGACCCAGCUCAGUGUGGCAGGGGGCUGGCUGUCAGCAGCACAGAGGAGCCGCAGGAACUGGCCUUUUUGGGCUUCCAGGGAAAAGAAAGUGGGACUAUCCCGGGAAGACAAGUGACAACCAGCGCCAGGGCUCACGUGUGUGGACCAGACGCCAUUCCCAUCCCCCUCCCAGGGCUGCGGCGGCAUCCUGGGACCCCACAGCUUCCUCUCCCUGGAUGCUCCUGAGCUGGGAGCCGCUCACUGUCCCACUGGGCUCCUCCACCUCCCCACCCACCGGGGCUGUCUGCACACCCCACCCUCCCAGGCCACACUCACAGGCCACACGGAGUCGGACGGUCCUCUGUGCGCUCACACCCUUUCUGGAGAAGUCCACAUGGCAGCUUCCUCUCUCCACCCGAAAGAAGUACUGUGACUCAUCCUGCAUCUGCGCGUCUCUGAUCACCAAGGAGCAGUUCCCCUUGGCGGGAUCCCCAGUG
rnacentral:lncRNA from 1 species